rnacentral:tRNA from 1 species
ACAGGCAACCCUAAUUCAGCAAUCACUGAAUCCAAGUCAGUUUCUUUAGUAAUAAUGCGAUACGGUGCAGUUGGUAAAUCACUUCCU